AUCAUCCAGCCAUGUGACCUAUGGACUUCCCUUUGUCAUCCUAUGCCUGGAUUAAUACAAAAGGGGCUGGGAAGGCAAAGGGACGCCCAGUUGUCAUGCAAGCA
rnacentral:pre_miRNA from 14 species